UGGGGAAUUUUGGACAAUGGGCGAAAGCCUGAUCCAGCCAUGCCGCGUGUAUGAAGAAGGCCUUCGGGUUGUAAAGUACUUUUGUUAGGGAAGAAAAGCUUGAGGUUAAUACCCUUGAGUCAUGACGGUACCUAAAGAAUAAGCACCGGCUAACUACGUGCCAGCAGCCGCGGUAAUACGUAGGGUGCAAGCGUUAAUCGGAAUUACUGGGCGUAAAGCGAGCGCAGGCGGUUAUUUAAGUCAGGUGUGAAAGCCCCGAGCUCAACUUGGGACGUGCAUUUGAAACUGGAUGACUAGAGUGUGUCAGAGGGGGGUAGAAUUCCACGUGUAGCAGUGAAAUGCGUAGAGAUGUGGAGGAAUACCGAUGGCGAAGGCAGCCCCCUGGGAUAACACUGACGCU
rnacentral:rRNA from 1 species